rnacentral:rRNA from 1 species
AAGUAAAAAGUCGUAACAAGGUCUCCGUAGGUGAACCUGCGGAGGGAUCAUUACACAAAUAUGAAGGCGGGCUGGAAUCUCUCGGGGUUACAGCUUGCUGAAUUAUUCACCCUUGUCUUUUGCGUACUUCUUGUUUCCUUGGUGGGUUCGCCCACCACUAGGACAAACAUAAACCUUUUGUAAUUGCAAUCAGCGUCAGUAACAAAUUAAUAAUUACAACUUUCAACAACGGAUCUCUUGGUUCUGGCAUCGAUGAAGAACGCAGCGAAAUGCGAUAAGUAGUGUGAAUUGCAGAAUUCAGUGAAUCAUCGAAUCUUUGAACGCACAUUGCGCCCUUUGGUAUUCCAAAGGGCAUGCCUGUUCGAGCGUCAUUUGUACCCUCAAGCUUUGCUUGGGUUGGGCGUCUUGUCUCUAGCUUUGCUGGAGACUCGCCUUAAAGUAAUUGGCAGCCGGCCUACUGGUUUCGGAGCGCAGCACAAGUCGCACUCUCUAUCAGCAAAGGUCUAGCAUCCAUUAAGCCUUUUUUCAACUUUUGACCUCGGAUCAGGUAGGGAUACCCGCUGAACUUAAGCAUAUCAAUAAGCCGGAGGAAAA